rnacentral:rRNA from 1 species
CAGUCCCGCGGUAAUACAGAGGGUGCGAGCGUUAAUCGGAUUUACUGGGCGUAAAGCGUGCGCAGGCGGUUCGUUAAGACAGAUGUGAAAUCCCCGGGCUUAACCUGGGAACUGCAUUUGUGACUGACGGGCUAGAGUAUGGCAGAGGGGGGUAGAAUUCCACGUGUAGCAGUGAAAUGCGUAGAGAUGUGGAGGAAUACCGAUGGCGAAGGCAGCCCCCUGGGCCAAUACUGACGCUCAUGCACGAAAGCGUGGGGAGCAAACAGGAUUAGAUACCCCGGUAGUCCCUGUCUCUUAUACA